GAUGAACGCUGGCGGCGUGCCUAAUACAUGCAAGUCGAGCGAACGGACGAGAAUUUUGCUUCUCUGAUGUUAGCGGCGGACGGGUGAGUAACACGUGGAUAACCUACCUAUAAGACUGGGGUAACUUCGGGAAACCGGAGCUAAUACCGGAUAAUAUUUUGAACCGCAUGGUUCAAAAGUUAAAGACGGUCUUGCUGUCACUUAUAGAUGGAUCCGCGCUGCAUUAGCAAGUUGGUAAGGUAACGGCUUACCAAGGCAACGAUGCAUAGCCGACCCGAGAGGGUGAUCGGCCACACUGGAACUGAGACACGGUCCAGACUCCUACGGGAGGCAGCAGUAGGGAAUCUUCCGCAAUGGGCGAAAGCCUGACGGAGCAACGCCGCGUGAGUGAUGAAGGUCUUCGGAUCGUAAAACUCUGUUAUUAGGGAAGAACAUAUGUGUAAGUAACUGUGCACAUCUUGACGGUACCUAAUCAGAAAGCCCCGGCUAACUACGUG
rnacentral:rRNA from 1 species